CGCAAGCCUGACGGAGCAACGCCGCGUGAGGGAUGGAGGCCUUUGGGCUGUAAACCUCUUUUCUCAAGGAAGAAGAUCUGACGGUACUUGAGGAAUAAGCCACGGCUAAUUCCGUGCCAGCAGCCGCGGUAAUACGGGAGUGGCAAGCGUUAUCCGGAAUUAUUGGGCGUAAAGCGUCCGCAGGCGGCCGUUUAAGUCUGUUGUUAAAUCGUGGAGCUCAACUCCAUCACGGCAAUGGAAACUGUUCGGCUUGAGUAUGGUAGGGGCAGAGGGAAUUUCCGGUGUAGCGGUGAAAUGCGUAGAUAUCGGGAAGAACACCAGUGGCAAAAGCGCUCUGCUGGGCCAUUACUGACGCUCAUGGACGAAAGCCAGGGGAGCGAAAGGGAUUAGAUACCCCUGUAGUCCUGGCCGUAAACGAUGAACACUAGAUGUUGGGGGAAUCGACCCCCUCGGUGUCGUAGCUAACGCGUUAAGUGUUCCGCCUGGGGAGUACGCACGCAAGUGUGAAACUCAAAGGAAUUGACGGGGGCCCGCACAAGCGGUGGAGUAUGUGGUUUAAUUCGAUGCAACGCGAAGAACCUUACCAAGGCUUGACAUCCUGCGAAUCUCCAAGAAAUUGGAGAGUGCCUUUUGGAACGCAGUGACAGGUGGUGCAUGGCUGUCGUCAGCUCGUGUCGUGAGAUGUUGGGUUAAGUCCCGCAACGAGCGCAACCCACGUUUUUAGUUGCCAGCAUUCAGUUGGGCACUCUAGAAAGACUGCCGGUGACAAACCGGAGGAAGGUGUGGACGACGUCAAGUCAUCAUGCCCCUUACGCCUUGGGCUACACACGUACUACAAUGCUGCGGACAAAGAGUAGCGAUCUUGCGAAAGUUAGCUAAUCUCGUAAACCGCGGCUCAGUUCAGAUCGUAGGCUGCAACUCGCCUACGUGAAGGAGGAAUCGCUAGUAAUCGCAGGUCAGCAUACUACGGUGAAUACGUUCCCGGGCCUUGUACACACCGCCCGUCACACCAUGGAAGUUGGCCAUGCCCGAAGUCGUUACUCUAACCUUUUGGAAGAGGGCGCCGAAGGCAGGGCUAAUGACUGGGGUGAAGUCGUAACAAGGUAGCCGUAGCGGAAGCUGCGGCUGGAUCACCUCCUAA
rnacentral:rRNA from 1 species